rnacentral:misc_RNA from 1 species
AUUUCUUUUUGUGUAUCUUAAAGGAAAAUCGAUUAGUCUCAUAAAAUUACUGGAACAAUGAUAUAUUAUUUUUGCCUAUAUUUCAUUCCAGAUUAUAACAAAAUCUAUCACUCUAAGAAACUUAUGAAUGAUUUACUUAAUAAACCAAUAGAGUAAAAAUGCAUUUGUUUCUCUCCCAUUUUCUCUUCCUCUCUCAGUCAUACAUCCACAUAUUGUGAAACCAUUGAAAAUAAGAAAAAUGAGCAUUUAUGAAGAAUGUAUGCGUUUACCUGAGAUAUCAAGAGCAAAACAAUCUAGAAAACAAAUAGCUAUGGCAGCCCUGUAGAGUAUCAAGCAAAGGAGCUGUUUGGCACGCUUCCUCAACUGUAUGGUCCAUCCACUUUUUCAAUACAGUUUCAGCAACAAGACACAGCUGAUGCUGCAAUACAGCUGCACCUAGAGGUCCAACCAAAUUCAGCCUUGUUGCAGCAGAAAUUGCAUCCCUCAUUGUGAUAAAAAUGUAAGCUUUUUGAGAAGUCUCACUAUCCAUCCCAAGAAGUCCACAUAUCAUGCCAAAGAUGGGAGCAUGGUGAAAAGAAACAGCCCCAGAACCAAUACAUGCAUCUCUCAUCGUUUUAAGACAAGGGACUUCAGUAAAAACAGCUGCAGCCACCCUCAUAAGAGCUGAUCCUUGCGCAAUAGAUGCCUUUCGACUUACUUCAUUGGUUAAAGUAGCAUCCAAUAUUCUGUCAAGCCUUUGCCAGGUAUCCAAAUCAGGAGAGUUGGUUGCAGAGUACACAAAAGGAAGAAGCAAACUUCCUGUAUUCUCCAAAAUAUGAAUCACCUGAUUCUUAAAAUCUUCAUGACCCAAGAUUAUGCGUGCUUGAAUUGCUGCCUCAAGACCAAAAGAAUGAGCAAAACCACCAGUAGGGAGAAUGGAAUCAAGCAGUUGCCACUGGCUCCACUGUAAAAGAAAAUCUGCUGAAGCAGUUUUUCUGCGCUUUUUGUCCAUUAUCAUGUCAUCUUCCAUUGAGAGAAUGUACAGGCAACCUCAUAAUUUAGCUCAAAGAAUGCUCCAUGAUAAUGAUUUUGCUUGUAAUCCUUUGGAGCAAACAAACUUUUUUUUUUCUUCUCUCUUUAGUUUAAUGAAACUUCCAUUUCUUAGGAGCGAUGGGAAACGACACAGUAGCCAAUGGUGCUCGAUCAAACGCCCUCUUUUCUCCGUUUCCGUGCAAAAAAUAAAAUAAAUCAUAUAUUGGAUAAUGAGAGGUUAGAAAGAGGGUAGUUGAGGAUUUCAAGGGUAAGAUGUAUGUUGCAGAGGGGAAAGUAGUCAGUACAGCCCUCUCCGGUGAACAUGCAGGCUAAGCAAUUUAAUUAAACAAGCUUAGAAAAAAAAUUUUAAUUAAACAUGUGCUAGUCAUCUAAAAAUUUAAAUAUUUAUUAAUUUAAACCAAGUUACAAGUAUUAGAUGUUUAAUUUAAAU